rnacentral:rRNA from 1 species
ACGCACGCUGGCGGCGUGCUUAACCCAUGCAAGUCGCACGGAAAGGCCCUGCUUGCAGGGUACUCGAGUGGCGAACGGGUGAGUAACACGUGGGUGAUCUGCCCUGCACUUCGGGAUAAGCCUGGGAAACUGGGUCUAAUACCGGAUAGGAGCCAUUUUUAGUGUGAUGGUUGGAAAGUUUUUUCGGUGUAGGAUGAGCUCGCGGCCUAUCAGCUUGUUGGUGGGGUAAUGGCCUACCAAGGCGGCGACGGGUAGCCGGCCUGAGAGGGUGGACGGCCACAUUGGGACUGAGAUACGGCCCAGACUCCUACGGGAGGCAGCAGUGGGGAAUAUUGCACAAUGGGCGCAAGCCUGAUGCAGCGACGCCGCGUGGGGGAUGACGGCCUUCGGGUUGUAAACUCCUUUCGCUAGGGACGAAGCUUUUUGUGACGGUACCUAGAUAAGAAGCACCGGCUAACUACGUG